GACGAACGCUGGCGGCGUGCCUAAUACAUGCAAGUUGAGCGCUGAAGGUUGGUACUUGUACCAACUGGAUGAGCAGCGAACGGGUGAGUAACGCGUGGGGAAUCUGCCUUUGAGCGGGGGACAACAUCUGGAAACGAAUGCUAAUACCGCAUAAAAACUUUAAACACAAGUUUUAAGUUUGAAAGAUGCAAUUGCAUCACUCAAAGAUGAUCCCGCGUUGUAUUAGCUAGUUGGUGAGGUAAAGGCUCACCAAGGCGAUGAUACAUAGCCGACCUGAGAGGGUGAUCGGCCACAUUGGGACUGAGACACGGCCCAAACUCCUACGGGAGGCAGCAGUAGGGAAUCUUCGGCAAUGGACGAAAGUCUGACCGAGCAACGCCGCGUGAGUGAAGAAGGUUGUCGGAUCGUAAAACUCUGUUGGUAGAGAAGAACGUUGGUGAGAGUGGAAAGCUCAUCAAGUGACGGUAACUACCCAGAAAGGGACGGCUAACUACGUG
rnacentral:rRNA from 1 species